UCUUCAGGCAGGAUAAGCCUUGCCUGCUCCUCAUUCUGGAGGGCAGAUUGGAACAUGAUGAUUGGGGGUCACAUGAUUAGUGAUUGAAUCUGCAUUAUCAGGAUUUACAACACCCUGAUUGCUCUUAUCAGAU